CCUACGGGAGGCAGCAGUCGAGAAUCAUUCACAAUGGGGGAAACCCUGAUGGUGCGACGCCGCGUGGGGGAAUGAAGGUCUUCGGAUUGUAAACCCCUGUCAUGUGGGAGCAAAUUAAAAAGAUAGUACCACAAGAGGAAGAGACGGCUAACUCUGUGCCAGCAGCCGCGGUACUACAGGGGUCUCAAGGGUUGUUCGGAAUCACGGGGCGUAAAGCGUGCGUAGGGUGGUUCGUAAGUCGUGUGUGAAAGGCGCGGGCUCAACCCGCGGACGGCACAUGAUACUGCGAGACUAGAGUAAUGGAGGGGGAACCGGAAUUCUUGGUGUAGCAGUGAAAUGCGUAGAUAUCGAGAGGAACACUCGUGGCGAAGGCGGGUUCCUGGACAUUAACUGACGCUGAGGCACGAAGGCCAGGGGAGCGAAAGGGAUUAGAUACCCCAGUAGUC
rnacentral:rRNA from 1 species